AUUGAACGCUGGCGGCAGGCCUAACACAUGCAAGUCGAACGGUAACAGGAAGAAGCUUGCUUCUUUGCUGACGAGUGGCGGACGGGUGAGUAAUGUCUGGGAAACUGCCUGAUGGAGGGGGAUAACUACUGGAAACGGUAGCUAAUACCGCAUAACGUCGCAAGACCAAAGAGGGGGACCUUCGGGCCUCUUGCCAUCGGAUGUGCCCAGAUGGGAUUAGCUAGUAGGUGGGGUAACGGCUCACCUAGGCGACGAUCCCUAGCUGGUCUGAGAGGAUGACCAGCCACACUGGAACUGAGCCACGGUCCAGACUCCUACGGGAGGCAGCAGUGGGGAAUAUUGCACAAUGGGCGCAAGCCUGAUGCAGCCAUGCCGCGUGUAUGAAGAAGGCCUUCGGGUUGUAAAGUACUUUCAGCGGGGAGGAAGGGAGUAAAGUUAAUACCUUGGCUCAUUGACGUUACCCGCAGAAGAAGCACCGGCUAACUCCGUG
rnacentral:rRNA from 1 species